UACGUAGGGUGCGAGCGUUAAUCGGAAUUACUGGGCGUAAAGCAUGCGCAGGCGGCUUUGCAAGACAGAUGUGAAAUCCCCGGGCUUAACCUGGGAACUGCAUUUGUGACUGCAUGGCUGGAGUGCGGCAGAGGGGGAUGGAAUUCCGCGUGUAGCAGUGAAAUGCGUAGAUAUGCGGAGGAACACCGAUGGCGAAGGCAAUCCCCUGGGCCUGCACUGACGCUCAUGCACGAAAGCGUGGGGAGCAAACAGG
rnacentral:rRNA from 1 species